AUGAGCUGCAUAAGCUGGAACUGCCGGGGGCUUGGGAAACCUGAGGCAGUUCGCGAGCUUCGCAACGUUGUGAAGCAAGAAGGGCCUGUGCUGGUUUUUGUCAUGGAGAUGAAGAUCAGUGGGAAGCGAGUUGAGGAUCUGCGGCAUACUCUAGGGUUUGUAGGCAGUUUUGAAGUAAACAGUGACGGCCUAAGCGGAGGCAUAGGGCUGUUUUGGUCCAAUGACAUAAAGGUUGAGCUUAAAAACUUCAGCAAAAAUCAUAUUGAUGUCAUGGUUAGUUCAGACACCAUGGGUUUGAACGCGUGGAGGUUUACAGGGUUCUAUGGAGCGCCAAGAGCCUCCGAUAGUCAACAUAGCUGGCGCUUCCUUAGAACACUCCACAGCAUUCCACAUGGUGUGUGGAUGUGCGCCGGAGACUUCAAUGAAACUCUAUACCCCAUGAACACUUCAGCAGAACUGAUCGCCCCGAGCAACAGAUGA
rnacentral:rRNA from 1 species